AACGUAGGAGGCGAGCGUUAUCCGGAUUUACUGGGCGUAAAGGGCGCGUAGGCGGCGUGUUAAGUCAGCUGUGAAAUCUCCAAGCUCAACUUGGAACGGCCAGCUGAUACUGAUGUGCUAGAGUGCAGAAGGGGCAAUCGGAAUUCUUGGUGUAGCGGUGAAAUGCGUAGAUAUCUGGAGGAAUACCGGUGGCGAAGGCGGCAUCCUGGACCGACAUUGACGCUGAGGAGCGAAAGCUAGGGGAGCAAACGGG
rnacentral:rRNA from 1 species